GCAGGAUCUGAGUCCCACUAUGAGGGAUUGACCUUCAGAGAUAAGCUACCGGCGUCAUACUGCCCCCACAAGGUAAACCCGCCAUUUAUCUUGGGUCCCAAAUUGCAGUGUUUGUCCCUCUUCAUUUGUUAUUAGUCUAUGUGAUUUCAUUCUUUAGCAUCUGAUGUGGUAGACCGUUUAAUCAAUUUUCACGGAUAGUCUAGCUCAUGUGUUUCUGAUCUAAGUGGUGCCACAUGUUUCUUCAUGAAGCCUCACAAGAAAGUUAGAUUCUUCUCCAUAUCUUCAAAUUGGCUGUUUAUUGAUGAGCAAGGUUGAUUUGAGCCGUCUUCUGUAAGUGCUCCAUUGCAACCUUAAAACCAGUCGCAAAAUUGUUUUGGUCCAUGCACGACUUAAAUAACCUACUGUGUAUUUAACUAUUGAUGUGUAUAGGCAAUUAUUUACUUCUAUAUACGGAUAUCUUCGUUACAUCAAAAAAUGUUUUGUACUAAUUGGUAAGUAAAUAAAUUUAAAAUAGUCAGUAUGAUAGUUCUUCUCUCCUCAAGUCUCAGAUCUGUUUAGACCUAUUUUGUUUUUGUACUGACUCUUGAAUUUUCUGCUUUCUAUUUCCGAACCCUUUUGAUAUGUUCUUUACUCCUGAUUUCAGCCUUUUAAGGUCUGUUCUUCUUCAGGGAUUGCAGAGAGCAUGGACCACCGUCGUUGUCUUUGGUGUGUUGCUUGCAUUUUUCUAAUUCUUGCACUACAGAGACCUCAGUCUAUCCAUGUAGGUCAUGCCUUCUAAUCAGUCUUGUGACUCUUAUGUACGCGUAUGCUCUUGCAUUACUUACUAGAUCUUGUUAUAUACGAUGAUCCAUUGUCAGUUAUACAAAGGUUCUGAUUUUAAAAUUUUGUAAUGUUCAGUUUAGAUUUAAUUUUAUUCCACCUCUUUUUGAAUGGACAAUGUGUGUGCUGUUUAAAUGAUCACUAUGUGAAAUUCAUAGGCAUUGUGAGGGCAUGGAGAAAGGAUUCGAUUUUUGAUUCUUUUUUUCAGGGUUCAGAGCUAUUACCUGCUACACCUACACACAUGGAAAACUUAAACUUAGCAGUCCAAAAUUAAGCAGCAAACUUUAUUGCCGGUCAUCUGAAAAUUCAGUGACAACUGCUGACACAUGAGCUUCAUUUUUUAGUAGAGUUAGUAGAUGAUGCAGAUGACAGUUCUACCUCUCUGACUGAAACAAGAACUUUCUGACCAAGGGCAUACCUGCAGGACAGCAGGAAGUCCUAAGGCACGCAUCACGCAUUCACAAAAGAUAUGGAGCUGAUGUUUUAGAUCAGUACUAGCAUAUUGGUACGUAGUGUGUGUGUGUGUUUUAGCAUAGUAGUACUAGCAUACCUGCAGGAGGUCCUAAUUUUGUUCAGUUCUAUACAAAUUUGAGUUGGUACGUAGUGUUGAGAGGAUCCUAAAAUAUUGUACUACAUAAUCUCUUUCCAGGUUCUUGAAACUUGCACUCUUCUGUUGAAUUUCGCAUUUUGGUCGAUCUGUACUGCAUCUUUUAUUGUUGUCAGCCUAGAAUUAUAUCACAUUUUGAUCUUUAACAGCCAGAUUCAUAAUUAUACCUUAAUACUAAUUUAACUGCAUGAUUUAAUAGUGGCUGCAAUAUUAUUUCAUGGUCCACAACAGAACUAAAUGUAUCAAAAUGAAACAUUCUUCUUCCCAUGUGUCAAAGUAUUAAGCAAUCAAAUAUUUUAGUAUCUAAAUUGUUAUGUUUAGGAUGAUAUAUUUCAAAGAGCCACAUGUGCCCAAAACAAUGGUGCCAAGUGCGUAGACAAUGAAGCAUUACCUUUUCUUGCUAAG
rnacentral:lncRNA from 1 species